rnacentral:sRNA from 1 species
UUCUUGCGUGAGGGAUAGAUGCGGCAUCCUUUUGUGAAGCGUUAGCGGAACAAAAGAUACAGCUAAUAGCCCGACCCGCA